CCUACGGGUGGCUGCAGUGGGGAAUAUUGGACAAUGGGGGAAACCCUGAUCCAGCCAUGCCGCGUGAGUGAUGAAGGCCUUAGGGUUGUAAAGCUCUUUCGCCAGGGAAGAUAAUGACGGUACCUGGAAAAGAAGCCUCGGCUAACUCCGUGCCAGCAGCCGCGGUAAGACGGAGGAGGCUAGCGUUGUUCGGAAUUACUGGGCGUAAAGCGUGCGCAGGUUGUGAGUUCAGUUGGAUGUGAAAGCCCGGGGCUUAACCUCGGAUGUGCAUCCAAUACUGGCUCGCUGGAGGUUGGAAGAGGAGAGUGGAAUUCCCAGUGUAGAGGUGAAAUUCGUAGAUAUUGGGAAGAACACCAGUGGCGAAGGCGGCUCUCUGGUCCAUACCUGACACUCAUGCACGAAAGCGUGGGGAGCAAACAGGAUUAGAUACCCGAGUAGUC
rnacentral:rRNA from 1 species